rnacentral:rRNA from 1 species
CCCCCCCCGGGGGUGAUGAGGUCUUCGGAUCGUAAAGCUCUGUUGUUAGGGAAGAACAAAUGUGUAAGUAACUAUGCACAUCUUGACGGUACCUAACCAGAAAGCCACGGCUAACUACGUGCCAGCAGCCGCGGUAAUACGUAGGUGGCAAGCGUUAUCCGGAAUUAUUGGGCGUAAAGCGCGCGUAGGCGGUUUUUUAAGUCUGAUGUGAAAGCCCACGGCUCAACCGUGGAGGGUCAUUGGAAACUGGAAAACUUGAGUGCAGAAGAGGAAAGUGGAAUUCCAUGUGUAGCGGUGAAAUGCGCAGAGAUAUGGAGGAACCCCAGUGGCUGCAGACGAUGAUACGAAAAC